rnacentral:rRNA from 1 species
UACGUAGGUGGCGAGCGUUAUCCGGAAUUACUGGGUGUAAAGGGGGCGCAGGCGGGACAGCAAGUUGGAUGUGAAAUACCGCAGCUUAACUGCGGAGCUGCAUCCAAAACUGCAGUUCUUGAGUGGAGUAGAGGUAAGCGGAAUUCCGAGUGUAGCGGUGAAAUGCGUAGAUAUUCGGAAGAACACCGGUGGCGAAGGCGGCUUACUGGGCUCAAACUGACGCUGAGGCCCGAAAGUGUGGGGAG